GCCUCCUGCUGGGCGGGAGCCGCGGCCUCUGGCUGCUGGUGGCGGUCUGGGCGGGGGCCGCGCUCGGGGUCGUGCAGGCGGUG
rnacentral:tRNA from 1 species